rnacentral:sRNA from 1 species
AAACGGAUACUUUGUCAUUGAUGAAGCAUAUUUAGAUUAUGGUACGGCAUAUGACGUGGAACUGGCACCACACAUCUUAAGAAUGCGUACAUUAUCAAAGGCGUUUGGAAUUGCCG